rnacentral:rRNA from 1 species
GGAAUAUUGGUCAAUGGCCGGAAGGCUGAACCAGCCAUGCCGCGUGAAGGUCAGUGCCCUAUGGGCGUUAAACUUCUUUUGUCGGGGAACAAAGGGCGCCACGCGUGGCGUUGUGAGUGUACCCGAAGAAAAAGCAUCGGCUAACUCCGUGCCAGCAGCCGCGGUAAUACGGAGGAUGCGAGCGUUAUCCGGAUUUAUUGGGUUUAAAGGGUGCGUAGGCGGUCCGGAAAGUCAGCGGUAAAAGCCCGGGGCUCAACCCCGGCGAGCCGUUGAAACUGUCGGACUAGAGACGGCGAGAAGUACGCGGAAUGCGCGGUGUAGCGGUGAAAUGCAUAGAUAUCGCGCAGAACUCCGAUUGCGAAGGCAGCGUACCGGCGCCGGCCUGACGCUGAGGCACGAAAGCGUGGGUAUCGAACAG